rnacentral:lncRNA from 1 species
AGAGAUGUUAGGCCUCACAUGUCUAAAUUCUGACCAUAAUCAUUUGCAUCAUGUGGUUUCAGGUAACACACUCAGUCCAGCUUCAGGCUAAUGCUGACAUCUUGAUGGUCAGUCAGCACUGUAGGCUGACUUCUGCCUUCCAUUUGCCUGGAUCACUAAACAGUGUCACUGAGGUCAUCAAGAUUCAUUACACCAACUCCAGUCUCCAGGAGACUCUAUCGCCAAAGGAGUGUGGCUUUGAAAGGGCAUCCACAGAGCGAUGUGUCAAGAAUUAA